rnacentral:lncRNA from 1 species
AAUGAUGUGUUUAAACACUUACUGUUUUAAUUUUCCAUACAUCCAGUAAAAUAAAAUCCCUAUAGCAACCAUUCAGACAUAAUAUAUUUAUUAGUAAGAAUCAUGGUUUGAUCUGCGAAUUGUUGGUCUUGAUUAGCAAAUCAAAUCGGAUGGCCACCUAAUUAACAACCCACAGCUCCAACAUAAACACAUAAAACAAGACAGGAAACUCCAUCCUCUACACCUCAUCUCUUCAUCCACCCUUACCCGUGAAGAGGAUCCACCACAAUGGCACGAGGGACUUGCCAUCGCUGCCCAAGCUGAAUCCAGAGCGACAGCGGCAGGUCCUGGUUUUGUGUCCGUUUCCCAGCAGACAGAUAUCCGAGCAGCCUCCAGGCUUCCCGAACUGGUCCACCUCACAUGCGUGGCUGCGGACUGGAAAGCAAAGGGGGGGAGAAGAAGCAUUCAGCCUCCAAAGCACGAGUAUGAAUACCUUCUAGUUUGAAUGAUGCAUGUGCACCUGGAGGCUGGCGUCUCUGGUGAUAAACGUGCAGCGCUCCUCCUUUAUCCACCCUGGUCACUACUUGGUAGUCUGAGCUGUUGAAGCGGUUGACUCGGAUCACACUGGUCUUUGGCUGCAUGUUGGCGUUGUCCGAGUUGGUGGCAUAUAGAUAGUUUUCAAACACAGUCAAACCGUACAGAUGCUCGAUCUGAAAAACAAAAAAAAGGAGCCCUGUUAGAGUCAAAUAGAAGCUUUCCCUUAAAAAUCAGUUUAUUUAAUCUAACAAAGCUUAAUAAAAGUUCACUACAUUUAGACACAACGUUCUAAACAUAGAUUAUCUGUAAAUGACACUAAGACAAACUUCAAAAAAUGAUUAUUUCUGACUUUGUAAAAAAAUGAAUUGACACAAAUCAAGGACGUGCAAAAAACUUUGAAUCAUUGCAUAAAUUCUGAGACAUUUGAGUUAUUUGCAAAUGUUUGCUUUCUGCCAUGAUCUGUUUGAAUUCAGUGGGAUUUCUUCAAACUUCAAAAAGUUACUUCCUUUGUAAACUUUUAAAAAU